UAAGGCCCGAAAGNGUGGNACCAAACAGAUCAAAUACCUUGGUAGCCCCCCCCCGUAACCGUNAGUGCNAAGUGUAGAGGGNNNCCGCCCUUUAGUGCUGAAGUUAACGCAUUAAGCACUCCGCCUGGGGAGUACGGCCGCAAGGCUGAAACUCAAAGGAAUUGACGGGGGCCCGCACAAGCGGUGGAGCAUGUGGUUUAAUUCGAAGCAACGCGAAGAACCUUACCAGGUCUUGACAUCCUCUGAAAACCCUAGAGAUAGGGCUUCUCCUUCGGGAGCAGAGUGACAGGUGGUGCAUGGUUGUCGUCAGCUCGUGUCGUGAGAUGUUGGGUUAAGUCCCGCAACGAGCGCAACCCUUGAUCUUAGUUGCCAUCAUUAAGUUGGGCACUCUAAGGUGACUGCCGGUGACAAACCGGAGGAAGGUGGGGAUGACGUCAAAUCAUCAUGCCCCUUAUGACCUGGGCUACACACGUGCUACAAUGGACGGUACAAAGAGCUGCAAGACCGCGAGGUGGAGCUAAUCUCAUAAAACCGUUCUCAGUUCGGAUUGUAGGCUGCAACUCGCCUACAUGAAGCUGGAAUCGCUAGUAAUCGCGGAUCAGCAUGCCGCGG
rnacentral:rRNA from 1 species